rfam:Erinaceus europaeus unplaced genomic scaffold scaffold00377, whole genome shotgun sequence
GUCUACGCUCAUACCACCCUGAAUAUAUCUGAUCCUGUCUGACCUUGGAAGCUAAGCAGGGGCAGAUCUAGUUAGUACUUAGGUUAAAAAAAAAAAAAAGUCAACAGAGACUUUGAGAGAAUUGUGGUGGUGGUGGUG